AUUCUACUCCCUUCGUUCCGAAUUACUUGUCGUAGGUAUGAAUGUAUCUAGAUGUAUUUUAGUUCUAAAUACAUCCAUUUCUGCGACGAGUAAUUUGAAACGGAAGGAGUAUAUA
rfam:Triticum urartu cultivar G1812 contig44114, whole genome shotgun sequence.